UGUUGUGGCUGUUUGGGUUCCUGGCAUGAUGAUUUGUGAGUUAAGAUUAAAAUCACAUUGCCAGGGAUUACCACAUAGCCAUGACC
ensembl:miRNA MIR23B microRNA 23b